UUCUCCUGUGCCAUGCCAAGGUGUGAGCCUACAGAUUUCGGCACUUCUUUCCUGGAUCUGUUUGAAGAAUGAACGUCACUGAGAAGGCUGUGUGAUCCAAACCAGCUUUCCUGGCCUGAGCUGUUCAUUACCAUCACACCAAGCAUGACUGUAAAUGACCUUCUGUACCCUUGAUUGUAACUUCUGAGUACAGUAAACACCGCCUGGACAUCGCCUCUGCAAAAAUCUCCCCUUUCUUCCCCUGGGGCUCUUGUCAGCUCCAGGAUGACAGGAAGCAUCUGCAUCAGCUCCCAGCAACACUUCAGUGGUGCUUGCAGACAAAUUCGUAUUUCCCAAAGAUGGGAAGAAGAUUCCCAGAAGAAGGAGGUCAACUGCCUCAGACAGAAGGGCCAUGGAAGAGCCCCUUGGACACUCCCCUUGGCGGACAAUAUGCUGAUGCACGUUAGUGACUUGAUAGCGAGCUCUUGCUUUGUGGGGGCUGCUGAAGGAUGUCCUUGGUGCUUCUGUGCAGUUACGGGCUCACUGAGUCUCUUCACCAGCAUGCCACUGUGGGUUUGGCUGCAAGGCUUUCAAAGCCUGAGUGCAGCGAGCAGUGCCCGGGUGGCGUUUCUGAUGGCAUCCAUGAUGUGUCUUCUGGUAGAGGAAUGAAUAGAGCUGCUAACCACUGACCCUUGCAAACCUGCCAGAGGGAAAAAAAACAAUAAAGGAAAGUAGGCAGCAGAGCAGGGCCACACUAUUUCUAGCAACUGAGAGCUCUGAUCAGGAGAUGGACAGGUGAGGAUUUCAUUGCACUGGGGGGCAGGCUGCAGUGUCUUCCAGGCCCGAGCGGUCUGCCUGCUGUGGGGCUGCACGCCAGCAUACCCAAUAGUGUGCUAACUGUUGCUGUUUAAUCUCCAGCAUCUUGUUUGACGCCUCGGUGUAAUAAUGAUGGAAAUAAUAAAUGGCGUGCUACAAAGCCGUGUGCGUGGACUCGCUUUGUGCUGACGGCGGUGCCUUGCUCCCGGCGCGGCUCGGUGCCAGCCUGCUUCCAGCUGAGUCAGUUGGAGCAGGCAAAGGCCCAGCUCAACAGCUGGCACCAUUUCAGGGGCCAUUGCGCUGGGUGCAGCAGAG
rnacentral:lncRNA from 1 species